rnacentral:snRNA from 16 species
UAGUCUGGGAAAUCGGACUACUAAUCUAAAAUUGGAACAAUACAGAGAAGAUUAGCAAAACCCCUGCGCAAGGCCGGUUACUUCUACGAGAAGUUAAGGAAUUUUUU